UACAGGGGCUCGAGCGUUAAUCGGAAUUACUGGGCGUAAAGCGUGCGCAGGCGGUUUGUAAGACAGGCGUGAAAUCCCGGGCUUAACCUGGGAACUGCAUUUGUGACUGCAUCGCUGGAGUGCGGCAGAGGGGAUGGAAUUCCGCGUGUAGCAGUGAAAUGCGUAGAGAUGUGGAGGAACACCGAUGGCGAAGGCAGCCUCCUGGGCUAGUACUGACGCUCAUGCACGAAAGCGUGGGGAGCAAACAGG
rnacentral:rRNA from 1 species